rnacentral:rRNA from 1 species
GACGAACGCUGGCGGCGUGCCUAAUACAUGCAAGUUGAGCGCUGAAGGUUGGUACUUGUACCAACUGGAUGAGCAGCGAACGGGUGAGUAACGCGUGGGGAAUCUGCCUUUGAGCGGGGGACAACAUUUGGAAACGAAUGCUAAUACCGCAUAAAAACUUUAAACACAAGUUUUAAGUUUGAAAGAUGCAAUUGCAUCGCUCAAAGAUGAUCCCGCGUUGUAUUAGCUAGUUGGUGAGGUAAAGGCUCACCAAGGCGAUGAUACAUAGCCGACCUGAGAGGGUGAUCGGCCACAUUGGGACUGAGACACGGCCCAAACUCCUACGGGAGGCAGCAGUAGGGAAUCUUCGGCAAUGGACGAAAGUCUGACCGAGCAACGCCGCGUGAGUGAAGAAGGUUUUCGGAUCGUAAAACUCUGUUGGUAGAGAAGAACGUUGGUGAGGGUGGAAAGCUCAUCAAGUGACGGUAACUACACAGAAAGGGACGGCUAACUACGUG